rnacentral:rRNA from 1 species
UAGGGAAUCUUCGGCAAUGGACGAAAGUCUGACCGAGCAACGCCGCGUGAGUGAAGAAGGUUUUCGGAUCGUAAAACUCUGUUGUUAGAGAAGAACAAGGACGUUAGUAACUGAACGUCCCCUGACGGUAUCUAACCAGAAAGCCACGGCUAACUACGUGCCAGCAGCCGCGGUAAUACGUAGGUGGCAAGCGUUGUCCGGAUUUUUUGGGCGUAAAGCGAGCGCAGGCGGUUUCUUAAGUCUGAUGUGAAAGCCCCCGGCUCAACCGGGGAGGGUCAUUGGAAACUGGGAGACUUGAGUGCAGAAGAGGAGAGUGGAAUUCCAUGUGUAGCGGUGAAAUGCGUAGAUAUAUGGAGGAACACCAGUGGCGAAGGCGGCUCUCUGGUCUGUAACUGACGCUGAGGCUCGAAAGCGUGGGGAGCAAACAGG